AUUGAACGCUGGCGGCAUGCCUUACACAUGCAAGUCGAACGGUAACAGGGAGCUUGCUCCGCUGACGAGUGGCGAACGGGUGAGUAAUGUAUCGGAACGUACCUUUCAGUGGGGGAUAACGUAGCGAAAGUUACGCUAAUACCGCAUAUUCUGUGAGCAGGAAAGCAGGGGACCUUCGGGCCUUGCGCUGAUUGAGCGGCUGAUAUCAGAUUAGCUAGUUGGUGAGGUAAAGGCUCACCAAGGCGACGAUCUGUAGCGGGUCUGAGAGGAUGAUCCGCCACACUGGAACUGAGACACGGUCCAGACUCCUACGGGAGGCAGCAGUGGGGAAUUUUGGACAAUGGGGGCAACCCUGAUCCAGCCAUGCCGCGUGAGUGAAGAAGGCCUUCGGGUUGUAAAGCUCUUUCGGCCGGGAAAAAAUAGCAUGGGCUAAUACCCUGUGUGGAUGAUGGUACCGGAAUAAGAAGCACCGGCUAACUACGUGCCAGCAGCCGCAGUAA
rnacentral:rRNA from 1 species